rnacentral:rRNA from 1 species
UACGUAGGGGGCGAGCGUUGUCCGGAUUUAUUGGGCGUAAAGAGCGUGUAGGCGGCCAGGUAGGUCUGCUGUGAAAACUCGAGGCUCAACCUCGAGACGUCGGCGGAAACCAUCUGGCUAGAGUCCGGAAGAGGAGAGUGGAAUUCCUGGUGUGAGCGGUGAAAUGCGCAGAGUAUCAGGAAGAACACCCGUAGGCGAAAGCGGCUCUCUGGAACGGUACUGACGCUGAGACGCGAAAGCGUGGGGAGCGAACAGG